AGGUAGGCAGGGACGUCAUGCCGUGACUGAGCCUUCCGGAGUAUGAGCGGCGCGGGCGGGGGGAGCUGAGCGGACGGUGGGACGGCCGAGUCAUCGGCACACUAGUGCAGAUCCCAGUCUCAGCUUGCCGCUCCUGCAGUGCCGCACUAAAGGCCACCGACCACAUCCGUCUCCUCGUCCGUUGCACCGCCGCCCUCUGCCUCCUCCUCCGCUGCACCGGCGCUGCCCUCGGCCUUCUCUGCCGACAUCGG